GGAAAAGAUACCGGAGCGUCGAGUGGACAAGCCGAUGGCGACUUACGUUUGACGGGCGCGCUUUGAAGUUUCAGGUAUUACAAGUAUGUGGACGACGAUCAAGUUGAUGCUCCAAGAACCGAACACGAAACUUUUGAACGCUUCCGCACUAAAUGAAUCUAGUUAAAUUAUGUAGUUUUGUAAACACUACUAAAUGAUUUAUGUUUGAAACUAGUUAUUUGACUAUGUUAAACACUAUGAUGAAGUAUAACUUAGUCUACUAACUAAGUUUUUGUUA